rnacentral:tRNA from 1 species
GUCUCCGUGGCGCAACGGAUAGCGCGUUGGACUUCUAAUUCGGAGGCUGUGGGUUCGAAUCCCACCGGAGAUG